CGCCGGCGGCAGUGGCCACAGCCGUCGCCCAGACGAGCGCGCCGACGACGGGCGGCAUCAGCGGCGCCACCCUAGACGCGAACAUGGCCGAGAGCAGCGUCGUCAGCGUCCACACCGCGGCUCUGAUGAUCCCGACAUCCCUGCCCCUGCCGGCGGCCCCCCGCCCCUGCAGCUCCAGCUCACGGAGGCAGAGGAAGAGCAGCACGAGGAUGGAGUCCGCGGAGAGCACGAACGCGACGGAGCUCGCGUCGCCCCAGGAGUUGUAGAUGGCGAGGCCCGAGUUGAAGGCCAGCACGCCCAAGCCUGCCUUGGUCAGUCCGGCAUACUGCCGGUCGUCCAUGUCGGUGUAGGCGACGCGGAGGAGACGGUGGCGACGAUCCGACGACGCGAGAGCAUCGGGUCACGCCUGCCGACUGGGUUAUUGAAGAUUGUUCG
rnacentral:misc_RNA from 1 species